GAUGAACGCUGGCGGCGUGCCUAAUACAUGCAAGUCGAGCGAAUGGAUUAAGAGCUUGCUCUUAUGAAGUUAGCGGCGGACGGGUGAGUAACACGUGGGUAACCUGCCCAUAAGACUGGGAUAACUCCGGGAAACCGGGGCUAAUACCGGAUAACAUUUUGAACCGCAUGGUUCGAAAUUGAAAGGCGGCUUCGGCUGUCACUUAUGGAUGGACCCGCGUCGCAUUAGCUAGUUGGUGAGGUAACGGCUCACCAAGGCAACGAUGCGUAGCCGACCUGAGGGGGGGAUCGGCCACACUGGGACUGAGACACGGCCCAGACUCCUACGGGAGGCAGCCGUAGGGAAUCUUCCGCAAUGGACGAAAGUCUGACGGAGCAACGCCGCGUGAGUGAUGAAGGCUUUCGGGUCGUAAAACUCUGUUGUUAGGGAAGAACAAGUGCUAGUUGAAUAAGCUGGCACCUUGACGGUACCUAACCAGAAAGCCACGGCUAACUACGUGCCAGCAGCCGCGGUAA
rnacentral:rRNA from 1 species